rnacentral:rRNA from 1 species
AGAGUUUGAUCCUGGCUCAGGACGAACGCUGGCGGCGCGCCUAACACAUGCAAGUCGAACGGAGCUGAGAGGAGCUUGCUUUUCUUAGCUUAGUGGCGAACGGGUGAGUAACGCGUGAGUAACCUGCCCUGGAGUGGGGGACAACAGUUGGAAACGACUGCUAAUACCGCAUAAGCCCACGGCCCGGCAUCGGGCUGCGGGAAAAGGAUUUAUUCGCUUCAGGAUGGACUCGCGUCCAAUUAGCUAGUUGGUGAGGUAACGGCCCACCAAGGCGACGAUUGGUAGCCGGACUGAGAGGUUGAACGGCCACAUUGGGACUGAGACACGGCCCAGACUCCUACGGGAGGCAGCAGUGGGGGAUAUUGCACAAUGGGGGAAACCCUGAUGCAGCGACGCCGCGUGGAGGAAGAAGGUCUUCGGAUUGUAAACUCCUGUUGUUGAGGAAGAUAAUGACGGUACUCAACAAGGAAGUGACGGCUAACUACGUGCCAGCAGCCGCGGUAAAACGUAGGUCACAAGCGUUGUCCGGAAUUACUGGGUGUAAAGGGAGCGCAGGCGGGAAGACAAGUUGGAAGUGAAAUCCAUGGGCUCAACCCAUGAACUGCUUUCAAAACUGUUUUUCUUGAGUAGUGCAGAGGUAGGCGGAAUUCCCGGUGUAGCGGUGGAAUGCGUAGAUAUCGGGAGGAACACCAGUGGCGAAGGCGGCCUACUGGGCACCAACUGACGCUGAGGCUCGAAAGUGUGGGUAGCAAACAGGAUUAGAUACCCUGGUAGUCCACACCGUAAACGAUGAUUACUAGGUGUUGGAGGAUUGACCCCUUCAGUGCCGCAGUUAACACAAUAAGUAAUCCACCUGGGGAGUACGACCGCAAGGUUGAAACUCAAAGGAAUUGACG